GUGGGAGGGGGCUUGCCCCCGAUGGCGGUAGGUCAGUUACAGAUUUGCUAACUGAUACUCCCUCAUCGGGGGCAAGCCCCCUCCCAC
rnacentral:misc_RNA from 1 species